rnacentral:sRNA from 1 species
UUUCUUAUAUAUGAAUUCACAGACUAUUAAUGGUGAACGAUAUGGGUGUGUGGAUUUCUACAAACAACCAGGACUUGACCACUCAUCCAUGAAGAACCACACAUUUCACCAUAAGGUAUUGCAUUGGU